AAUAGAUACCCAGGUAGUCCACGCCCUAAACGAUGUCAACUGGUUGUCGGGGAAGCAAUUCCUUGGUAACGAAGCUAACGCGUGAAGUUGACCGCCUGGGGAGUACGGCCGCAAGGUUAAAACUCAAAGGAAUUGACGGGGACCCGCACAAGCGGUGGAUUAUGUGGAUUAAUUCGAUGCAACGCGAAAAACCUUACCUACCCUUGACAUGUACGGAACUUGGCAGAGAUGCCUUGGUGCCCGAAAGGGAGCCGUAACACAGGUGCUGCAUGGCUGUCGUCAGCUCGUGUCGUGAAAUGUUGGGUUAAGUCCCGCAACGAGCGCAACCCUUGUCAUUAGUUGCUACAUUCAGUUGGGCACUCUAAUGAGACUGCCGGUGACAAACCGGAGGAAGGUGGGGAUGACGUCAAGUCCUCAUGGCCCUUAUGGGUAGGGCUUCACACGUAAUACAAUGGCCGGUACAGAGGGCUGCCAACCCGCGAGGGGGAGCUAAUCCCAGAAAGCCGGUCGUAGUCCGGAUUGUUCUCUGCAACUCGAGAGCAUG
rnacentral:rRNA from 1 species